CUUUAUUGGAAAUUCUUCUUCUGAAUCUUUUAUGCAUGAAUAACAGAUUUCAAGUUUUGGGGUGUUUGAUUGUAUUUAAAGUUUAGACUUUUCAUUCUCCAUUGAAAGGAGGAGAGAUUUUAGAGAUGACCUUCAGGAAGUCUUUUCUUCCAAGAAUAUUUUCAUCCAAAGAGAAGACCAUAAGCCAAACCGACGAAGAUUCAUUCGAUUCUUCCGUUGCAGAAUCAGUCUACUUCAAGGCUUGGGAGUCUAAAUUUCAGUAACUUCCAG